GAUAAACGCUGGCGGCGUGCCUAACACAUGCAAGUCGAACGAUCCCGCAAGGGAGAGUGGCGGAAGGGUGAGUAACACGUGGGAAUCUACCUCCUCGCAGGGAACAACCUCUCGAAAGAGAGGCUAAUACCCAAAAGGGUCAGAAAUGAUCAGAGUCGAAAGGCGUGAGGAGAGGAGCCCGCGGCCCAUCAGCUAGUUGGUGAGGUAAUGGCUUACCAAGGCUACGACGGGUAGGGGAUCUGAGAGGAUGUCCCCCACACUGGAACUGAAACACGGUCCAGACGCCUACGGGUGGCAGCAGUGAGGAAUAUUGGACAAUGGGCGAAAGCCCGAUCCAGCAACGCCGCGUGGAGGAUGAAGGCCUUCGGGUCGUAAACUUCUUUAGAGGGAGACGAGAAAGGACGGUAUCCCUAGAAUAAGCGACG
rnacentral:rRNA from 1 species